rnacentral:rRNA from 1 species
CCAGUUGCCAAGUCGCGAGGCUAAGCUAAUCUCUUAAAGCUUCUCUCAGUUCGGAUUGCAGGCUGCAACUCGCCUGCAUGAAGCCGGAAUCGCUAGUAAUCGCGGAUCACCACGCCGCGGUGAAUACGUUCCCGGGCCUUGUACACACCGCCCGUCACACCACGAGAGUUUGUAACACCCCGAAAUCUGGUGAGGUAACCUUUU